AAUUAGAGCCAAAUGAUGCCGCGUCGUUUGCGGCUGAGCGGGUGUCCCUGAAGGGUACUUGUCUCCUGAAGGAUUGUCUGCAGACAUGAACCUGGGUGGGGAGGGCCACAGUUUCAAAAGGACUUAAAAAACAUAGCAACAACACAUUCCAACACUUCCCUCUGAUUAUGGGAAAGCACCCUGCCCUCCAAACCUAGAUAUCUGGAAACUGGCUUUCCUCCAGGCUUAUGCAAUCCAUGUACAGUGAGCAUUUUUUCUU